UCUAAUUAGUGACGCGCAUGAAUGGAUCAACGAGAUUCCCACUGUCCCUACUUACUAUCUGGUGAAACCGCAGCCAAGGGAACGGACUUGGUAAUAUCAGCGGGGAAAGAAGACCCUGUUGAGCUUGACUCUAGUCCGACUUUGUGAAAUAUCUUUAGGGGUGUAGAAUAAGUGGGAGAGUAAUCAAUCUUGAAAUACCACUACCUUAAAUGAUGUUUUACUUAUUUGAUUAUUAGAAAUUAAUAUUUUAGUAUUAAGUAAUCAUUAGAUUAUAAUUCUUUUCUAAAGACAUUGUUCAGAUGGGGAGUUUGGUCUGGGGCGGCGACAUUUGUCUAAAAGAUAACGCAAGUGUCCAAAGAAUGAACUCAAUGAGAAACAGAAAAUACUCAUGUAGAACAAAAGGGUAAAAAGUUACGAUUUAGUA
rnacentral:rRNA from 1 species